rnacentral:rRNA from 1 species
UACGUAGGGUGCAGGCGUUAAUCGGAAUUACUGGGCGUAAAGCGUGCGCAGGCGGUCUGCUAAGAGAGAUGUGAAAUCCCCGGGCUUAACCUGGGAACUGCGUUUCUAACUGGCAGGCUUGAGUGUGGCAGAGGGGGGUGGAAUUCCACGUGUAGCAGUGAAAUGCGUAGAGAUGUGGAGGAACACCGAUGGCGAAGGCAGCCCCCUGG